rnacentral:rRNA from 1 species
AUUGAACGCUGGCGGCAUGCCUUACACAUGCAAGUCGAACGGUAACAGGCCGCCAGGUGCUGACGAGUGGCGAACGGGUGAGUAAUGCAUCGGAACGUGCCCAGUCGUGGGGGAUAACUACUCGAAAGAGUAGCUAAUACCGCAUACGAUCUAUGGAUGAAAGCGGGGGACCGUAAGGCCUCGCGCGAUUGGAGGGGCUGAUGUCAGAUCAGCUAGUUGGUGGGGUAAAGGCUCACCAAGCCAACGAUCUGUAGCCGGUCUGAAAGGACGACCGGCCACAUUGGGACUGCGACGCCACCCAGACUCCUACGGGACGCAGCAGUCUGCAAUUUUGGGCAGUGGGCGCAAGCCUUGUACAGCAGUGCGGCGUGUGGGGCGACGGCCCUCGGGGUGUGAAGUCCUUUUGUACGGAACGAAACGGCUCUGGUUAAGGCGCGGGGCUAAUGACGGUACCGGAAGAAGAAGCACCGGCUAACUACGUG